rnacentral:rRNA from 1 species
GACGAACGCUGGCGGCGUGCCUAAUACAUGCAAGUCGAACGCAGUGGGGACGGGUGAGUAACACGUGGGUAACCUCCCAUCAGAGGGGAUAAAACUUGGAAACAGGUGCUAAACCGCUACUGGUGGAUGGACCCGGGGGGCAUUAGCUAGUUGGUGAGGUAACGGCUCACCAAGGCCACGAUGCAUAGCGGACCUGAGAGGAUGAUCGGCCACACGGGGACUGAGACACGGCCCAGACUCCUACGGGAGGCAGCAGUAGGGAAUCUUCGGCAAUGGACGAAAGUCUGAUAGAGCAAUGCCGCGUGUGUGAAGAAGGUUUUCGGAUCGUAAAACUCUUUUGUUAGAGAAGCGGUAUCUAACCAGAAAGCCACGGCUAACUACGUGCCAGCAGCCGCGGUAAUAC